GGGAAAGACUAGUAAUAACUAAUAACAAUAAUAAUAACUAUUCCAACUGCAAAGCCUGCAAUAUACACAAAGCAUUCACAGACUUUGGCCAUUCAAAACCUACUUUUGUUAAUACUCUGUACUGGGGCCAGAGGAUAUCAAUUUCAGUCGAGUCUUCAAGAAUUGUUCCAGAUCAUCCACACCAGGGGCUUCUGAGUUGGCUGCAACUUCUGAAGGCUAUAAAUUGAGGAGGGGCAUGCAACUUUGAUUCUCAUCAAACAUUUUCUUUCAACUGCAAAACUCCCAACCUCCAGAAAGAUUCAAAAUUUAUCUUCUGAAAAA